rnacentral:rRNA from 1 species
CCUACGGGUGGCUGCAGUGGGGGAUAUUGGACAAUGGGGGGAACCCUGAUCCAGCAACGCCGCGUGCAGGAUGAAGGCCUUCGGGUUGUAAACUGCUUUUAUAAGCGAGAAAUAUGAUGGUAACUUAUGAAUAAGGAUCGGCUAACUACGUGCCAGCAGCCGCGGUCAUACGUAGGAUCCGAGCAUUAUCCGGAGUGACUGGGGGUAAAGAGUUGCGUAGGUGGCAUAAUAAGUAGCUAGUGAAAUCUGGUGGCUCAACCAUUCAGACUAUUAGCUAAACUGUUAAGCUCGAGACCGUUAGGGGUAACUGGAAUGUCUAGUGUAGGAGUGAAAUCCGUAGAUAUUAGAAGGAACACCAAUAGCGUAGGCAGGUUACUGGGACGGUUCUGACACUAAGGCACGAAAGCGUAGGGAGCAAACGGGAUUAGAUACCCCUGUAGUC